UACGUAGGGGGCAAGCGUUAUCCGGAUUUAUUGGGCGUAAAGAGCUCGUAGGCGGCCGUUCGCGUCGGAUGUGAAAGCUCAGGCUCAACUCUGAGAUGCCAUUCGAUACGGGACGGCUAGAGGUAGGUAGGGGAGAGUGGAAUUCCUGGUGUAGCGGUGAAAUGCGCAGAUAUCAGGAGGAACACCGGUGGCGAAGGCGGGUCUCUGGGCCGUAACUGACGCUGAGGAGCGAAAGCAUGGGGAGCGAACAGG
rnacentral:rRNA from 1 species